rnacentral:tRNA from 1 species
GUAGGUAUGAUGGAAUUGGUAGACAUGCUAGGUUUAGAUUCUAGUAACGGAACGUUGUGGGGGUUCAAGUCCCUCUACCUACA